UACGUAGGGCGCAAGCGUUAUCCGGAAUUAUUGGGCGUAAAGAGCGUGUAGGCGGUCCGGUAAGUCAGCUGUGAAAGUCAAGGGCUCAACCCUUGAAUGCCGGUUGAUACUGUCGGGCUAGAGUCCGGAAGAGGCGAGUGGAAUUCCCGGUGUAGCGGUGAAAUGCGCAGAUAUCGGGAGGAACACCAAUGGCGAAGGCAGCUCGCUGGGACGGUACUGACGCUGAGACGCGAAAGCGUGGGGAGCAAACAGG
rnacentral:rRNA from 1 species